rnacentral:lncRNA from 1 species
CUGGCAGCACCGCCCGGACCGGGGAGCUUGUUACGGGCGGGUCGCGCGGACCCCCCGGCCCCCCUCCCAGGGCCGGUGUUUAUUGUAGGGUCGCCGGGCCCGCGAUCAGGCAGCGCCGGGGCAGCCCCGCCCGGGCAGGACCCGCUAUAAAUAGCCCCGCAGCGAGCGCACGUGUCUCUCUGCGCGCCGGGCCGGGCCGGGACAGAGCCAUGCGGGGAGGGGCCGGACGCCUGGGUUCCCGGGGGGCGUCUCACUCCCGCCUCGCAGCCCCGGCCUGGGCGGCGGUGAUGUGCGGCGCUGGAGCUGAGGACUCUGGGGCAUCUGGGCUCUGUGACACUCAGCCUCAGCCCAGGAGCCUCCCAGCUAUCUAGUUUUGCAGGUGUCGGGUGGCUGCCGGCGUUGGUUACGGAGAGGAGAAUACGGGGCCCUGCUCGGUGGGGAACUGAAAUGAGAAGUGGGGGGAGCGCCCAGCCCCCGCCUGCAGCGCUGUUCAGGGUGGACAGGAGCCGGCCCCACCAGCGUCCCGGGGGCGGGGGGGAGCCUGGGAGCAUCGCACACCGAACUGGGCUGGUGCCUCAAUAAACAGCUGUGCCACAAACUGCGUCUUUCUGCC